CAAGAUGAUCAAAUCAUAACAGAAUGUGGUCAGUACUCUGUGGACACUAACAUAACCCUAGGAAAUAAUUAUAGGGGAAAGGUUGACUUCCGAAAGUUUGUUAGGAAAGUUAUUUUUUAUUUUUACUUAUUUACUUUUGAGACAGGGGUCUCACUAUGUUGCCCAGGCUGUCCUUGAACCCCUGGACUCACGCAAUCCUCCUGCCUCAGACUCCUGGGUAGCUGGGAUUACAGGCGUGCACCACCAUGCUCCGUGAAAAGUUCUUUCUGAGAAGAUGAAACCUGAAGAAUAAGAAGGAACCAACUGGCCAAUGAGCAAGCACAUGAAAAGACGCUCAGCAUCAUUAGUCAUUAGGAAAAUGCCAAUCAAAACCACAAUGAGAUAGCACUCAUAACACCCACUAGGAUGGCUAUAAUUAAAAGAAAAGGGGGAGGAGGAAUAACAAGUGUUGGCAAGGAUGUGGAGAAAUAGGAGCCCUUGUACAGUACUUAUGGGGAUACAGAUUGGUGCAGCUGCUGUGGGAAAGUAGUUGAGCAUUUCCUCAAAAAGUUAAACCUAGAGUUACCACGUGGCCCAGCAAUUCAACUCCUAGGUAUGUAUCCAAGAGAACUGAAAACAUAUAUUCACACAAAAAGUUAUAAACAAAUGUUCACGAGAGAAUUAUUCAUAAAAGGCGUGAGCCAUCGCGCCAGGCCUAGAAGCAGAUUAGUAUUUGUAUAGGUUGCAGGAGGGGAAAACGGAGAGUGACUGCUUUUAAUGAGUAUGGGGUUUUGGGAGCCGGGUGAUGAAAAUAUUUUGGAAUUAAUAGUGGUGACGUUAGUGGAUGACUG
rnacentral:lncRNA from 1 species